GCUCUUAUAGCUCAACGGUAGAGCAAAAUACUAAUAUUUGUAUAGAUGUUCGAUUCAUCUUGAGGGCU
rnacentral:tRNA from 1 species